rnacentral:rRNA from 1 species
AUUGAACGCUGGCGGAAUGCUUUACACAUGCAAGUCGAACGGCAGCACGGAGAGCUUGCUCUCUGGUGGCGAGUGGCGAACGGGUGAGUAAUAUAUCGGAACGUGUCCAAUAAUGGGGGAUAACGAGUCGAAAGAUUCGCUAAUACCGCAUACGCCCUACGGGUGAAAGCCGGGGACCUUCGGGCCUGGCGCGGAUAGAUGAGCCGACGUCGGAUUAGCUAGUUGGCGGGGUAAAGGCCCACCAAGGCGA